rnacentral:rRNA from 1 species
UACGUAGGCAGCAAGCGUUGUUCGGAAUUACUGGGCGUAAAGAGUGUGUAGGCGGUGCCCUAAGUUUGGUGUGAAAUCUCCCGGCUCAACUGGGAGGGUGCAUCGAAAACUGGGGUGCUCGAGGGUGGGAGAGGAAAGCGGAAUUCCUGGUGUAGCGGUGAAAUGCGUAGAUAUCAGGAGGAACACCUGUGGUGUAGACGGCUUUCUGGACCAUAGCUGACGCUGAGACACGAAAGCGUGGGUAGCAAACAGG